rnacentral:misc_RNA from 1 species
AACAAGGCGUACCUGCGGACCUGCGGAGGGAUCAUUACCGAGUUUACAACUCCCGAACCCCUGUGAACAUACCACUUGUUGCCUCGGCGGAUCAGCCCGCUCCCGGUAAAACGGGACGGCCCGCCAGAGGACCCCUAAACUCUGUUUCUAUAUGUAACUUCUGAGUAAAACCAUAAAUAAAUCAAAACUUUCAACAAUGGAUCU